UUUGUGCUUGCAAACCACUCCACCUGCCUCCACGUCCACGGACUCUUUCAAAAACGCAUCCCUCUGUAACAUCGCCCAGGUGACAAAGUUGACAAAGGAGAGGAAACUGGACAGAAUCGGUGGAGGAAAAUACAGAUGCUCCUGAAUGUCAAAGGCCCAGGGAUGGCAUUUUAAUGGGUAAUGAAACAGGAAGGGAUGAGGGCUCAGCUGUAACUUGACUCCGGAAGAGUUUGAAGCAUCUUUGCUGCCCACACCGGGCAUUUAAUACAUACUUGUGAUUAAAUCUCAGCCCUCGGCUUGCUGAACUGCCCAUCCAAGACUUUUGAAGGCAUCUCUUCUCAGUUCUUACAAAAACAAGGGAAGCUGAGCUGCCCCGUUUUCCAGGAGGCAACAUUCCUGCUCCCUGGGCGCAGUUUCCACAGAAACCUUUCACUUCUCCGUGGACGUUUCAGUAAGUCACUACUUUUAGUUUCUCUUUAUUUUUCCUCCUCUUCAUCCUAGGUUUAUGUGUUUUCUCUCUUCCCUCAGUUUUUCUAACAUUUCCUGUUUGUGCAAACUUCAUUAUCAAGAUAUUAUUAAUCCCACCCUUCAUCUCUUCACCAUGCUCUUCCUCACUCACCACUUGGGGGGACAUGACUCCCUACCUCUGGGCAACAGCGGGGCUCUGGACAAUCCCUACUCUGGAAGUCAGAGCCUCUUUAACGGCCAUCAGUGUCCUUCUAGUCUGUUAAUAUUCUUCCCAAAUCCCUUCCUCAUCCACAAAGCCUUUGUUGACCAUCUCUCUCUCUGUUGCCAGGGAAGCUGCUGGUACAGGCAAGGAUGCUCCAAAUGGUACCCUGUGUCCCCUCCCUCAUUAAGCAUGGAGACCACCUGAGCUCUAGACAGAAAUCCUAGUCUUAUCUGUGGCUGGCUUGGUCCUUGCUAGACUGGACAUGUUGCCAUCUGGGGGAAGACAGCACCUCAUGGUUUUAAAGUUUACCU